rnacentral:miRNA from 1 species
ACGAAACGCGUCUAUACCUGGU